rnacentral:rRNA from 1 species
GAUUGAACGCUGGCGGCAGGCCUAACACAUGCAAGUCGAGCGGAUGAAGGGAGCUUGCUCCUGGAUUCAGCGGCGGACGGGUGAGUAAUGCCUAGGAAUCUGCCUGGUAGUGGGGGAUAACGUCCGGAAACGGGCGCUAAUACCGCAUACGUCCUGAGGGAGAAAGUGGGGGAUCUUCGGACCUCACGCUAUCAGAUGAGCCUAGGUCGGAUUAGCUAGUUGGUGGGGUAAAGGCCUACCAAGGCGACGAUCCGUAACUGGUCUGAGAGGAUGAUCAGUCACACUGGAACUGAGACACGGUCCAGACUCCUACGGGAGGCAGCAGUGGGGAAUAUUGGACAAUGGGCGAAAGCCUGAUCCAGCCAUGCCGCGUGUGUGAAGAAGGUCUUCGGAUUGUAAAGCACUUUAAGUUGGGAGGAAGGGCAGUAAGUUAAUACCUUGCUGUUUUGACGUUACCAACAGAAUAAGCACCGGCUAACUUCGUGCCAGCAGCCGCGGUAAUACGAAGGGUGCAAGCGUUAAUCGGAAUUACUGGGCGUAAAGCGCGCGUAGGUGGUUCAGCAAGUUGGAUGUGAAAUCCCCGGGCUCAACCUGGGAACUGCAUCCAAAACUACUGAGCUAGAGUACGGUAGAGGGUGGUGGAAUUUCCUGUGUAGCGGUGAAAUGCGUAGAUAUAGGAAGGAACACCAGUGGCGAAGGCGACCACCUGGACUGAUACUGACACUGAGGUGCGAAAGCGUGGAGAGCAAACAGGAUUAGAUACCCUGGUAGUCCACGCCGUAAACGAUGUCGACUAGCCGUUGGGAUCCUUGAGAUCUUAGUGGCGCAGCUAACGCGAUAAGUCGACCGCCUGGGGAGUACGGCCGCAAGGUUAAAACUCAAAUGAAUUGACGGGGGCCCGCACAAGCGGUGGAGCAUGUGGUUUAAUUCGAAGCAACGCGAAGAACCUUACCUGGCCUUGACAUGCUGAGAACUUUCCAGAGAUGGAUUGGUGCCUUCGGGAACUCAGACACAGGUGCUGCAUGGCUGUCGUCAGCUCGUGUCGUGAGAUGUUGGGUUAAGUCCCGUAACGAGCGCAACCCUUGUCCUUAGUUACCAGCACCUCGGGUGGGCACUCUAAGGAGACUGCCGGUGACAAACCGGAGGAAGGUGGGGAUGACGUCAAGUCAUCAUGGCCCUUACGGCCAGGGCUACACACGUGCUACAAUGGUCGGUACAAAGGGUUGCCAAGCCGCGAGGUGGAGCUAAUCCCAUAAAACCGAUCGUAGUCCGGAUCGCAGUCUGCAACUCGACUGCGUGAAGUCGGAAUCGCUAGUAAUCGUGAAUCAGAAUGUCACGGUGAAUACGUUCCCGGGCCUUGUACACACCGCCCGUCACACCAUGGGAGUGGGUUGCUCCAGAAGUAGCUAGUCUAACCGCAAGGGGGACGGUUACCACGGAGUGAUUCAUGACUGGGGUGAAGUCGUAACAAGGAA